rnacentral:rRNA from 1 species
CAAUGGGCCGCAAGCCUGAUGCAGCAACGCCGCGUGAGGGAUGACGGCCUUCGGGUUGUAAACCUCUUUUAGCAGGGAAGAAGCGAAAGUGACGGUACCUGCAGAAAAAGCGCCGGCUAACUACGUGCCAGCAGCCGCGGUAAUACGUAGGGCGCAAGCGUUAUCCGGAAUUAUUGGGCGUAAAGAGCUCGUAGGCGGUUUGUCGCGUCUGCUGUGAAAUCCGGAGGCUCAACCUCCGGCCUGCAGUGGGUACGGGCAGACUAGAGUGCGGUAGGGGAGAUUGGAAUUCCUGGUGUAGCGGUGGAAUGCGCAGAUAUCAGGAGGAACACCGAUGGCGAAGGCAGAUCUCUGGGCCGUAACUGACGCUGAGGAGCGAAAGGGUGGGGAGCAAACAGGCUUAGAUACCCUGGUAGUCCACCCCGUAAACGUUGGGAACUAGUUGUGGGGUCCAUUCCACGGAUUCCGUGACGCAUCUAACGCAUUAAGUUCCCCGCCUGGGGAGUACUGCCGCAAGGUU